rnacentral:rRNA from 1 species
GAUGAACGCUGGCGGCGUGCUUAACACAUGCAAGUCGAACGGUGAAGCAGGAGCUUGCUCUUGUGGAUCAGUGGCGAACGGGUGAGUAACACGUGAGCAACCUGCCCCUGACUCUGGAAGAAGCGCUGGAAACGGCGUCUAAUACUGGAUAUGUGAUGUGACCGCAUGGUCUGCAUCUGGAAAGAAUUUCGGUUGGGGAUGGGCUCGCGGCCUAUCAGCUUGUUGGUGAGGUAAUGGCUCACCAAGGCGUCGACGGGUAGCCGGCCUGAGAGGGUGACCGGCCACACUGGGACUGAGACACGGCCCAGACUCCUACGGGAGGCAGCAGUGGGGAAUAUUGCACAAUGGGCGGAAGCCUGAUGCAGCAACGCCGCGUGAGGGAUGACGGCCUUCGGGUUGUAAACUUCUUUUAGCAGGGAAGAAGCGAAAGUGACGGUACCUGCAGAAAAAGCACCGGCUAACUACGUGCCAGCCGCCGCCGUAA